AGCAUCAGGGGCGGUAUACACAAACGUUCUUAGCAUCGCUAAGUGCACUUAACGGCAAAGAAUCGUUAAGUUUUCUACUUAAAAUGGCGCUGGGCCGCUUAGCGCUGAAGCUGGAGCACUUAGCGGGCGGAAAAUUUAAGGCGGGGAAGGGGCUCCCUUAGCACCGUUAAAAAUGCAUAAGUAUUGCAACAUGGUGGAUUACAGCGGGAUGAAAGGCAUCACCUCCUAAUAUAUCUGCCUCGUCUAGACGAAUUGGAGGCGUGUAAUGAUUUGAAACUCAUCCUGAAAUAUCUGUGGACUGUGCUGACCGUGCUGAGAUGAGUGGUUCGGCGAGGCGGACCUUGGAAACACCUACAUGGCCAUCACGACUGAAGUGGUGUUCGCUGACAGGUAAAAUGCAGGUGCAACCUUCACAGACUGACAGAGAUUGAGUGAUAACAGACACUGGAGACCCUCCAAGCGAUGGCUGGUGACCGCCUGCCACCAUCCACAGGCUGUCACACAAGGAGCCCUGGGAGUAACCUUGCUGGAAGCCCCGCGGGCCGCAGUGUGUGGCUGGCGUUAUACAGCCCCCAGCCAUCGCCUGGAGGGCAUCCAGUGUCUGUUAUCACUCACCUUAGGUAGUCUGUGAAGGUCCAGUCAUCACUGGUGCACGUGUAUCUUACCUGUGAUCAACACCGGCAGCCACAGACUCCUGCCCAAGGAACGAACACAGUGAUUGUGAUGACAUUGACAACAACGAGCAAGUCCUCCUAGACCUAGAGUGACCUCAAGCUGGGCCAAACAUGAUGUGGAAGAAGAAAUCAGUUGUCUCCAUCAGUCGGGUUUGUGCCAUGGCAGCUUUCUCCAGCUGUCCGGCAGAGGUCCAGUCCAUGCCAUGGAGAAAUUCAGCCCCCAACAAUGAGAUGGCAUGCCAGAGAUGGAUCCGCAGCUUCUCCUCCAAUCAAUCAAUCAUUGCAAUGCCCUUUCUCUUUUCUCUCCUUCUGUACCACCAUGCUUACACAUAACUGAUCCUAGGUACUUAAACUCGUUAACCUCCUCCAUUUCUUCACCAUUCAAAAUUAUUUGGCAUUCUUUUUCACAUUCAAUGCCCACUCUAUAUGGGCAUACAAACUCUACAACCUCCCUUCUACUCCGCUCACAAACCAUCACUUUACUUCUGUUGACAUUUACUUUCAACUUUCUCCUUUUACAUACACUAUCAAAAACAUUGACCAAAUUUUGUAAGUCACUUUCAUUUUCUGCAAUGAGCACCGUGUCAUCAGCAAAUAAGAUUGAAUUCAUCACCCACUUCCUUCCCUCCCUCAGCAUACAUUUUUACUUCAAUUUCCCCAACUUUGCCCUUCAUUUCUCAUAACACCAUCCAUAUAAAUAUUGAACAACCACGAUGACAUGACACACCCCUGCCUUAGCCCACUUUCAUCUCAAAAUGUUCACUUGUUUCUCCAGUAAUUUUGACACAUGCAGAUGCAUCCUCAUAGAAAGACUUUAUUGCAUAAAGCAGUUUUCCUCCCACACCAUAUAUCUUUAAGACGUCCCACAAUGCCAGCCAAUCGACUCUGUCAUAAACUUUCUUUAGAAUAACUAGAUCCAUGAAGGCAGCAUAGUAUUUUUUCCUUUUGCUAAUAUUUUUUCUAAUAAAACACCAUCCUGAAGGAAAAUAUCUGAUCCACACAUCCCCUUCCCUUCCUGAAGUCUCCUUGUUCUUCACUGAUUUUCUCUUCUGUAAGUCUUUGCACAAUCUCAA